GGAUGGAGGACGGAUGAGCAAUCAAGCACUAGAUAUUGUUAUUGUUAGCUAGUCAUAACCUUUUUGAUCAUCGUUCUUCAAUAAAUUAUUAAGCACUUUAAUUUAUACUCGGUAUGAUGAAAGAAUUUCCACUACCUGCUUGAUCGUGGAUGAGUUUGUAUAUGUUGUCAUCGGAUCCUGAUAUCAGGUGAUGAUUGAGACAAAUCACACAGUACUAAUCAUUACCAAGAAGAAAGAAAAGAAUCUCACUUUGUACUUUCAGCUAGCUAGCUGGUCUUUCCUCACAUCAACAAACUUUAAUUACAUUUUGUGCUUCUGAAAAAAUAUUACUUAUGAAGCAUGCAAUUAUUACUAGAUGUAAAUUUUUUCCCCUUUAAUUUUCUUGAUGGGAAAAAGCCACGCUAGCACAUCUGGAACUGUAACAUGCAGUAAUAAUAAAUAGUAAAAGGGAGGAAACUUUAGGAUGUUGAGCUGGAACCCCUCUAGCUAGAAUGGUGGGAAUCAUCUACUGUAUUUUCCUCUGUUGAUUCCAGAUUACCAGUGUUGACACCCAAAUUAUGAAGUACAUGCAUCUUUUGCACUGCAGGCUCGAUUAAUCUGACUGAUGAGGGUCUUGGGCUUGGGCCGCCUUCAAAAGCUGCAAGGGCGGUGGGCCGGUGGUGGGUACAGGCAGGCAUACCACCAGAUUACCAGGCCCUCCUCCCUCCUUUGAGCUGAUUUUUCUAGUAAAUUAUAA
rnacentral:lncRNA from 1 species